ensembl:lncRNA
UUUCAGGAACUUGAUUCCAAUAUAUUGGGAUCAGUAAACAUCUUGCUGAAAUAAACUUUCUGCCUGAGAGCCUGUCUCCCUUACCCGUGGGGCAGGUCUGGGGAGGGAGGAGCUGGAAGAGCACAUGCCCUUUGCCCAUGGAGUCCCCGGCUGAUCGCACUAACUUCAAUUCAGAACACACUGGAAAGCCAAAAUCAAGAUCACAGAGUGCUGGGGACACCUGAAGCUGCUCCAUGUCUUAGCUGCCUCAAAGAAAGGAUGGAAUGGGAGACCAUGGACCUUUCUCAAGGAGGACCAUCUAGAGGACCGGUGGGUGCGGGAGUCCCUCCUUUCUGACUCAGGCCGGACUCAAAGCAUUUGCUCUCCUGGAAGCUUCUUUUCCUCCUUUCUUGCAGUGCUCAGAGGUUCUGAUGCUCUGGAGGACGUGGGAAGACACAGAUUACUGGGCCUCACCCCAGAGUGUCUGAUUCAGCAGGUCUGGGGUAAGGACCCAAAGUUUGCAUUUCUGUGUUGUUCCCAUUUCUGAGAAUGGAGAACCACAGCCAGAGAUGAACGGCUCUCAGCCCUGGUUGCGUGUAGGGGUCACUGUGCUGUGCUGUGCUUUGUUGCUCAGUUGUGCUGGACUCUUUGCGACCCCAUGGACUGUAACCUCCAGGUUACCUGAAUUCUCCAGAAGAUACUACAGCAGGAAGACGGAAAGAAUCUGAGUUCUCAGUGGUGUCCAUACUUGACCACUGAAACUGAGAACCCCGAAGCUGCACCAUCUCAGGACUUCCUGAGAUGUGGAAGUAAUAAAUGUCUUUAUUAUUAAAUGGCAUGGGUUGGUGCUUUCUAGUACUUUCAACUGAAAGCAUUACAGUUGCUACAGAUGUGAAAUCUUUUGGCAAGGAGCCAGCAGCCACAAUCAACAGCUUUAUUGAUUUCUUUAUUCAGUGAAAGUCUACUGAGGGCAUUCUGUGUGUCAGGAUGGUUCUGGGUAGUGGAGAGCUUGAGAGAGGGCCUUGCUGUCAUAGAGCUGCGUUCCAGUGGGUGAAGACAGACACGAAAGUAAUAAUUUCAGAUAAUGUUCAAGAAAGAAAAUAGAGUGGUUUGAGAGUGCAGGAGACUGGGGCUUCUCUGGGAAGGUGACAUCUGAGCAGACAACUGAAUGAAGAAGAGCCAGCCAUGUGAACAUCCCUGCAGGAAGGAUUCCAGGUAGAGGACACAGCAGGUGCAAAGGCCCUGGGGUGGGAGUGAACUUUGUUCAAGCAUGUGAAAUGUGGACUGUGAAGGUGGCAUGAUUAUGGCAGAGGUUUUCAGGGAA